ACAAAUAUGGAUUUUUUCGAUACCAAAAACCAGGAAUGGCUGGGUACGCCGCUGGUAUUUCUGUAUUAAGUUUUUCGAGUGUGUUUUGCACAUUGAACAUAGAAUUCCGACACAAAAGUAGUUAGCUCGUGGUCUUGACAAGGAUGUUGUUAAAGAAAAUAAAAGAAUUAUUCAGUAGAAGCUGAGGGAAGAAGUGCAUUUGCUGGUAGAUAUACUACUAACUGCUACUGCUGGCUAUACGAACAACGGAAACACUGCAAGGACAUUUUUUGAACAACUAAAUUUGAAUGCUUAUAUAACAGAAGAAAGCUAUGCUAUAAGAAAUCUUAGGACCACAGGUGUGUUGCCUGUUCGGAGGCAUUCCUUUCUUAAAAACUAUGAAUUUUAAUUCAUGGAGCAGACAUUAGAGCCGAGGGAGCUCUUGAAGCCAAGAACAAGGACUUACGGAACGAACGCGAGACCAAUGCAAGAAAAAAUUGCAGAAAAAAUACCAUGGAAGAUGUGUUAAAUGCCCUAUCCGUUUCUUCCGACCCAGUGUUAACUUCAUUGUCAAAUGGGUCUGCAAUUGCUUCUACAAAAACUAUAAUUAUGAACGAUGAUGUUAAGAGUUUGCUUCUAAUAAAGCAUCUGGAUAUGCCUCUCUUUGAUUCCGAUGAUUCCGAAUAACAUUCUAGCCUAAAUAAAGU